CAAUAGCGUAUAUUAAAGUUGUUGCGGUUAAAAAGCUCGUAGUUGGAUUUCUGCUGAGAACGACCGGUCCGCCCUUUGGGUGUGUAUCUGGCUCUUUCUUGGCAUCUUCUUGGUGAACGUUGCUGCACUUGACUGUGUGGAGCGCUACCCAGGACUUUUACUUUGAGGAAAUUAGAGUGUUUCAAGCAGGCAUACGCCUUGAAUACAUUAGCAUGGAAUAAUAAGAUAGGACCUCGGUUCUAUUUUGUUGGUUUCUAGGACCGAAGUAAUGAUUAAUAGGGAUAGUUGGGGGCAUUAGUAUUUAAUUGUCAGAGGUGAAAUUCUUGGAUUUAUGAAAGACUAACAUCUGCGAAAGCAUUUGCCAAGGAUGUUUUCAUUGA
rnacentral:rRNA from 1 species